UACGGGGGGGGUAAGCGUUGUUCGGAAUUCCUGGGCGUAAAGGGCUCGUAGGCGGCCAACUAAGUCAUACGUGAAAUCCCUCAGCUUAACUGGGGAACUGCGUGUGAUACUGGAUGGCUUGGAUUUGGGAGAGGGAUACGGAAUUCCAGGUGUAGCGGUGAAAUGCGUAGAUAUCUGGAGGAACACCGGUGGCGAAGGCGGCAUCCUGGACCAAUAUUGACGCUGAGGAGCGAAAGCCAGGGGAGCAAACGGG
rnacentral:rRNA from 1 species